AAUUUCUUGAGCAACGGAGCCUUGCGUAGUGACACAAUCGCACGUUUAAAGGCAGUGGACUAGCGAUUGUGCGGCACUCACUUUCCAACGACAAGUGAGCUAAGCCAAUUUGUACUUGC